UUAGGGAUUUAUUAUUUUUAUUUUUUCCCCAUUUUUUAAAACUCAGUACGUUGAAUGCAUGGCUUUUAAUGAGAAUCAGUGGGGUGAAGGGAACGAUAUUGAAAAGCAGCAGAAGAGGAAAAAAAUAGGACUGAGGUAGAGGUGAGGAAGCAGGAGCAGCAGAGAAGCGGUGAAAGGUCAUGUUUUUAUUCUCUUUCAUUUCUUGUGAGGGCGGACACGAGUACAGAGAGUGAGUAUCUGCUGGGCAGAGACACUGCUGCAUUGUGUUCUACAUUGUUACGUUGUGGGGCUCCACACACAAUAUGUACAGACUUACUAUUAGUGCAAAGCAACCGGGAAAUCACCCUUACACAAUGCGCAAAGCGCCAAAGAGAAGUGAGCGCGCACGUACACGCACGCAACACACUUAUCCUCGCAUAAUGAGGCGCUGCAGCCACCGAACCAGGCGCACAAACUCUGGCACAGCGAUGCCGAGAUAAUAAAACAAGCCACGGGCGUGUUUAACUUCUGAAGAAAAAUUAGAGGAAGUCGCUGGGAGCCCACGGAGAUAAAUAGAUAAGGAGGGAUGCAGAACUGGGAGCAAGGGGGGAAGCGCGCAAGACGGCAGGAGUCUGCGCGUUUGGAGAGCGAAAGGUAAAAGUCGCGCACAGAUGGAGCGGAAUGUGCCAAAUAGCGCAUUUCACUGCGUGUUUACAGUCUGAGUCACAUGAAGAGGCUGGGUGGAGGAUCCACUGGCCGAGGACAACUAGGCUCCAACCGAGAAGCUGCAUGUCACCUUCCUUAUGGCGGACCACCCCGAAAAACUACAAGUCUCCCCGGCUGAGCAUAAAAAUACACACGGCACAAUCCAGGCAAUCCCAAGCAGGCGUCGGGUCAAGGUGUGGGAGAAGCAGACACGCCUAAAGUUGAGUGCCGGUUCGGUCAGUGUCACUGAGGCUUCUGCGGAGAAAACUUUGAGCGGCGGCGUCAGUUUCCCCGAUCCGCCUCAUGUGGCACGUCCAUGCGGCGCGUCUCCGCUCAUGCUGGGGAUGCGCUGGAAGUUUGCGCGGAGGCGAAGUCAGUGUGGAAGCUGGAGGCAGCGGAGGAAUCUAGUGAAGAUCACCAGAGCUUCCAGUGUUAUGGCAAACUGACUGGUUGAUUUGGAGGAGCGAGAUCUCCCGCUCACCUCAUCCGUUCCCUCUCUCUCUCUCUCUCUCUCUCUCUCUCUCUCUCUCUCUUUCUCUCAGCGAGUCUCCACGAGCGCGUCACGGCGCACAGCAUCUCUCGUUUAUUGGCAACCACAGCGUUCACAACUGCAUGUAGGUUAUUUGUCACGAGGGCAUCGAGAUGAUUAAGCAAAUAUUUACACUCGAUUUAAGUCACAGUCGAUCUCUUCAGUAGAAUUUUAAAUAUAAAAAUCCUUAUCGUGACAAACGUUUACAAAUGAAGCACAUCAAUUGAGUUUACAGUUUUCUUUUUUAACAUCAUCAAAUUCAGUUUCAAUUAUUGUAAAAUCCUGAAUAUUAAUAAACACAACAUGUAAACUGGA